AGUGAACGCUGGCGGUAGGCCUAACACAUGCAAGUCGAACGGCAGCACAGUAAGAGCUUGCUCUUACGGGUGGCGAGUGGCGGACGGGUGAGGUAUACAUCGGCAUCUACUUUUUCAAGGGGGCUAACGUAGGCAAACUUACGCUAAUACCGCAUCCGACCCACGCGUGAACCCAGAGGAUCUUCGGACCUUGCGCGUUUGUAUGUGCCGUUGUCGGACUAGCUCGUCGGCGGGGUAAAGGCCCACCACCUCGACGAUCCCUAGUCGGUCUCAGAGGAUGAUCAGCCCCAAUAGAUCUGAGACAGGGUCCCUACUCCUACGCGAGGCAGCAGUGGCGAAUUGUGGACAAUAGUCGGAAGAAUGCUCCAGCCGUACCGCAUGGUUGAAGAAGGCCUUCUGGUUGUAAAUCCCUUUUGUUGGGAAAGAAAAGCAGCAGGUUAAUACCCCGCUGUUCUGACGGUACCCAAAGAAUAAGCACCGGCUAACUUCGUG
rnacentral:rRNA from 1 species